rnacentral:lncRNA from 1 species
AAGAAAGCUGUAUUGAGCGUACAGAGAAGGAGAAAUCUGAGAGAGCAGACACAAGCAAAAUAAAGACACUCUUCCUAUCUCCACCAUGGGCUACAGCAAGGUGAGCCGACCUGGUGUCAACUUGGGGACAAGUAAAAAAAGCUGACUCAUGAGGUGGACGGACUGCUACAGAGUAUUGGACAAGAUUUCAUCAGAGACAUUGUUUUUGGCCAUUCAGGCCAACUCCCCUAUAACUGUAAAAAAUUGUGUACCUUACCUGUAUUGUUAGAUAAUUUUAAGACUUAAGAUCACCAAUCUUGGCAAGUCUUUUCAUAUUCAUUGUAAUUCUUGGUCAAUCAAUUAAUUGUAUAGAUCCAAAUUUAGAUAAGGAAUCUGCUGUUAUGAUUUUGUUAAAGAGACCUGCUUAUGUUUUGCUGCGUAUUAGAGUUAGGAAAUGAUCCUUGGUUUAAAAAUCUGGGAAUGCAAACUUUGAAAAGGUAUCUACCACAGCCUUUGUUCAGCAACUGCAUACCACUCAUUUUGUUAAUGAUAAGCAUAGGAAUAUUUCCAUAGCUUUGUCAGAGCAACAUAUUAUAUAUAGAUAAAAAAAAUUGGAAGCAAAGGUUAACGCCCUAGAAGAAGUAGUGCUGACAAUAGGGCAAGAUAUUGCAAAUAUUAAGACCAGGUUAGCUACUAAAUGUCAUGCUUCUUUCCAAUACAUUUGUGUCACCCCCUUACCUUAUUAUACAACCAUUGAUUGGGAAAAGACUAAAGCUCAUUUGCAGGGAGUAUGGAGAGAUACUGAUAUUUCUCGUGACUUAGAACAGUUAAAGGCAAACAUUUCAGAUAUUAGUAAAAGUUAUCUGGACAUUUGGAACAUUGAUAUAUUAGAGAUUUGAAAAACAACCUAAGUGCAUUGAACCCCCUGGAUUGGGUUCAAUAUAUAAUCCUACUUGUGAUUAUUUUUGGCAUUGUUUUCUUAGUAAUCGUUGUGUUUCCACUCAUCUUUAGAGUGCUCCUGAGGUCUGUAGCUACGACGAGGCGGGACAUCCUGGAACUUUGGCUGAAAAAUAAAAAAAGAAAGGGAGAAAUGCCAUGCUCUCCAGUCGAGUCAGCUUGACAGGCUGAGGCUUGGAAGCUGUUCAUGAGGCAAAAAGAGUUUCAAGGAAGCUCUCCUCCUGGAGUUUGGCGUUCCCAUUCCCAUUUAUUAAUUUUCCAUUCCCGCGUUAGUCUAGUGUAUGGAUCCACGUGCUCUCUAUUAGUAUUACCCUAUUAUAAGUGCCUUUUAAGAUUGAAUUCUGACAUAGCUAGAUCCAGUGUUCCAAGAUCCCAGAAGCUGCUGAGUUUAAAAUCCUGUGAGAAAGCAGCAAGGAAGUUUAACCUAUUCAGUAACUGAUUAAGCAUUGCAAUAGAUGAAAUCAGUGGCUCAACUGGUCCGCAGAAAGAGCCUGGGAAUCUCACUGAGAUAGAAAUCUUUAGUACAGGCUACAUUCCAUACCUAAAGCAAGCUGGUAUACUCUCCUGACAAAUGGAGAUUCUCCAGAUAAGAUAAGAAUUAGCGAAGCCUAGAAAUUUAGGGGUCUGUGACAUUACAUUACUUUUGAGGCCUGCCAAGAGUAAAACCCCCUGGUGCUAUUAACACUAAAGUGUGAAAUUCUUGCCUGUCACAAGGCUGAUCCUAGACAGGACUGCUUAUCUCUAUUUGAAACAUUUACUUGGCUCCUGCAAUACCUUUCAAAGUCAUCCCUUUGUAUCUGGUAAACUUCAAUGUACCUUGCCUGAUGUGACUUGCAACCCCUUGUAUUCUCUGUACUAUAAAAAAAGUCUGAUGCUCGACCUGACAUUACAUUCAGAUUCAACAC